AUUGAACGCUGGCGGCAUGCCUUACACAUGCAAGUCGAACGGCAGCGCGGGAGCAAUCCUGGUGGCGAGUGGCGAACGGGUGAGUAAUAUAUCGGAACGUGCCCAGUCGUGGGGGAUAACGUGGCGAAGGCUACGCUAUUACGGCAUAGGACUUAUGGAGGAAAGCGGGGGAUCGCAAGACCUCGCGCGAUUGGAUCGGCCGAUAUCGGAUUAGGUAGUUGGUGAGGUAAAGGCUCACCAAGCCGACGAUCUGUAGCUGGUCUGAGAGGACGACCAGCCACACUGGGACUGAGACACGGCCCAGACUCCUACGGGAGGCAGCAGUGGGGAAUUUUGGACAAUGGGCGCAAGCCUGAUCCAGCAAUGCCGCGUGCAGGAUGGAGGCCUUCGGGUUGUAAACUGCUUUUGUACGGAACGAAACGGCGAGCUCUAAUACAGUUUGCUAAUGACGGUACCGUAAGAAUAAGCACCGGCUAACUACGUGCCAGCCGCCGCAGUAA
rnacentral:rRNA from 1 species